rnacentral:rRNA from 1 species
AUUGAACGCUGGCGGCAUGCCUUACACAUGCAAGUCGAACGGCAGCGCGGGGCAACCUGGCGGCGAGUGGCGAACGGGUGAGUAAUAUAUCGGAACAUACCCUAGAGUGGGGAUAACGUAGCGAAAGUUACGCUAAUACCGCAUACGCACUAAGGUGGAAAGUGGGGGAUUCGCAAGAACCUCAUGCUCAUGGAGUGGCCGAUAUCUGAUUAGCUAGUUGGUGAGGUAAAGGCUCACCAAGGCAACGAUCAGUAGCUGGUUUGAGAGAACGACCAGCCACACUGGAACUGAGACACGGUCCAGACUCCUACGGGAGGCAGCAGUGGGGAAUUUUGGACAAUGGGGGCAACCCUGAUCCAGCAAUGCCGCGUGAGUGAAGAAGGCCUC